rnacentral:lncRNA from 1 species
AAUGGUACCACAUUUGUAGUUCGGUCUCCUACUGCUCCCAUUUAUACUGCAAUUGGUACUUGUGGCACUCCAACAGCCAUUGGUGUUAUCACUGGUCUCCUUACUAUUUGAAUUUGAAUUUUUCUUCUUUUGAUUUUACUUGGACCUACAAUUCUUUUUUUUCGUUCCCGUAGGAGAUUUCUUAUGCGUAAUUGUUCUUGUCUUUCUUUCGCUUAUCGAUUAAUUCUUUGAUAAUCCUCCCUUUCAUGAUUAUUACUCAUAAUCUUUCAUUCUUCUUUAUAAAAUUAAUACUGCCUUGAAUUAUAACUCACAUAUUUCUAACCCUAAAAUUGGUUCUUCUCACAUUCUCAUUCAAUAUAUAAUUUCAUCUCUCAUACAAUCAAUUUCUAGCAUUUCAUAUUGUUAACAUUUUUUUCGCAAUGGUACCAAAAUGUUGUUCUCGUUGUGUUCAAGCUUCAAUGUACCAAAGCAAUUG